rnacentral:rRNA from 1 species
CAGAGGGUGCAAGCGUUGUUCGGAAUUAUUGGGCGUAAAGCGCGUGUAGGCGGCUUGUUAAGUCGGGUGUGAAAGCCCUCAGCUCAACUGAGGAAGGGCGCCCGAAACUGGCGAGCUUGAGUGUCGGAGAGGAUGGCGGAAUACCCCAAGUAGAGGUGAAAUUCGUAGAUAUGGGGUGGAACACCGGUGGCGAAGGCGGCCAUCUGGACGACAACUGACGCUGAGACGCGAAAGCGUGGGGAGCAAACAGGAUUAGAUACCCUGGUAGUCCACGCCGUAAACGAUGAGAACUAGGUGUCGUGGGUGUUGACCCCUGCGGUGCCGUAGCUAACGCAUUAAGUUCUCCGCCUGGGAAGUACGGUCGCAAGACUA